CCAUAUCAGGUUUAAAACCGGUUCUUGUACGACCAACGAAGUUAAGCAACGUCGAGCCAGGUCAGUAUCAAGAUGAGUGACCGCUUGGGAAUACCAGAUGCUGUAAG